UACGAAGGGGGCUAGCGUUGCUCGGAAUGACUGGGCGUAAAGGGCGCGUAGGCGGCUUGCACCGUCAGAUGUGAAAUUCCUGGGCUUAACCUGGGGGCUGCAUUUGAUACGUGUGGGCUUGAGUGCGGAAGAGGGUCGUGGAAUUCCCAGUGUAGAGGUGAAAUUCGUAGAUAUUCGCAAGAACACCAGUGGCGAAGGCGGCUCACUGGCCCGAUACUGACGCUGAGGCACGAAAGCGUGGGGAGCAAACAGGG
rnacentral:rRNA from 1 species